GACGUAGGGCGCGAGCGUUGUCCGGAUUUAUUGGGCGUAAAGAGCUCGUAGGCGGUUUGUUGCGUCGGCCGUGAAAACCUGCAGCUUAACUGUGGGCCUGCGGCCGAUACGGGCAGACUUGAGUUCGGUAGGGGAGACUGGAAUUCCUGGUGUAGCGGUGAAAUGCGCAGAUAUCAGGAGGAACACCGGUGGCGAAGGCGGGUCUCUGGGCCGAUACUGACGCUGAGGAGCGAAAGCGUGGGGAGCAAACAGG
rnacentral:rRNA from 1 species